GAUGGGGAGAAGACAUUGUGUCUUCGAGUCGUUGAUUUCACACUGCCGAGAAAAGCCUCUAGAUAGAAAAUAGGUGCCCGUACCGCAAACCGACACAGGUAGUCAAGAUGAGAAUUCUAAGGUGAGCGAGCGAACUCUCGUUAAGGAACUCGGCAAAAUGACCCCGUAACUUCGGGAGAAGGGGUGCUCUUUAGGGUUAACGCCCAGAAGAGCCGCAGUGAAUAGGCCCAAGCGACUGUUUAUCAAAAACACAGGUCUCUGCUAAACCGUAAGGUGAUGUAUAGGGGCUGACGCCUGCCCGGUGCUGGAAGGUUAAGAGGAGUGGUUAGCUUCUGCGAAGCUACGAAUCGAAGCCCCAGUAAACGGCGGCCGUAACUAUAACGGUCCUAAGGUAGCGAAAUUCCUUGUCGGGUAAGUUCCGACCCGCACGAAAGGCGUAACGAUUUGGGCACUGUCUCAACGAGAGACUCGGUGAAAUCAUAGUACCUGUGAAGAUGCAGGUUACCCGCGACAGGACGGAAAGACCCCGUGGAGCUUUACUGUAGCCUGAUAUUGAAAUUCGGCACAGCUUGUACAGGAUAGGUAGGAGCCUUUGAAACGUGAGCGCUAGCUUACGUGGAGGCGCUGGUGGGAUACUACCCUAGCUGUGUUGGCUUUCUAACCCGCACCACUUAUCGUGGUGGGAGACAGUGUCAGGCGGGCAGUUUGACUGGGGCGGUCGCCUCCUAAAAGGUAACGGAGGCGCUCAAAGGUUCCCUCAGAAUGGUUGGAAAUCAUUCAUAGAGUGUAAAGGCAUAAGGGAGCUUGACUGCGAGACCUACAAGUCGAGCAGGGUCGAAAGACGGACUUAGUGAUCCGGUGGUUCCGCAUGGAAGGGCCAUCGCUCAACGGAUAAAAGCUACCCCGGGGAUAACAGGCUUAUCUCCCCCAAGAGUUCACAUCGACGGGGAGGUUUGGCACCUCGAUGUCGGCUCAUCGCAUCCUGGGGCUGUAGUCGGUCCCAAGGGUUGGGCUGUUCGCCCAUUAAAGCGGUACGCGAGCUGGGUUCAGAACGUCGUGAGACAGUUCGGUCCCUAUCCGUCGUGGGCGUAGGAAAUUUGAGAGGAGCUGUCCUUAGUACGAGAGGACCGGGAUGGACAUACCUCUGGUGUACCAGUUGUCGUGCCAACGGCAUAGCUGGGUAGCUAUGUGUGGACGGGAUAAGUGCUGAAAGCAUCUAAGCAUGAAGCCCCCCUCAAGAUGAGAUUUCCCAACUUCGGUUAUAAGAUCCCUCAAAGAUGAUGAGGUUAAUAGGUUCGAGGUGGAAGCAUGGUGACAUGUGGAGCUGACGAAUACUAAUCGAUCGAAGACUUAAUCAA
rnacentral:rRNA from 1 species